GAUGAACGCUAGCGGCAGGCUUAACACAUGCAAGUCGAGGGGCAGCGGGAGGAGUGCUUGCACUUCUUGCCGGCGACCGGCGCACGGGUGAGUAACACGUAUGCAACCUGCCUCCGUCAGGGGGACAACCCGGCGAAAGCCGGGCUAAUCCCGCGUAUAUUCCGUGAGGGCAUCCUUACGGAAGGAAAGGCUUCGGCCGGACGGGGAUGGGCAUGCGGCGCAUUAGGUAGUCGGGGGUGUAACGGACCACCGAGCCGACGAUGCGUAGGGGUUCUGAGAGGAAGGUCCCCCANACUGGUACUGAGACACGGACCAGACUCCUACGGGAGGCAGCAGUGAGGAAUAUUGGUCAAUGGGUCGGAAGACUGAACCAGCCAAGCCGCGUGAAGGAAGAAGGUGCUCGGCAUCGUAAACUUCUUUUAUGCGGGGAUAAAGUGGGCCACGCGUGGCCUUUUGCAGGUACCGCAUGAAUAAGGACCGGCUAAUUCCGUG
rnacentral:rRNA from 1 species